UUGGGACUGAGACACGGCCCAAACUCCUACGGGAGGCAGCAGUGGGGAAUAUUGCACAAUGGGGGAAACCCUGAUGCAGCGACGCCGCGUGAAGGAAGAAGUAUUUCGGUAUGUAAACUUCUAUCAGCAAGGAAGAAAAUGACGGUACUUGACUAAGAAGCCCCGGCUAAAUACGUGCCAGCAGCCGCGGUAAUACGUAUGGGGCAAGCGUUAUCCGGAUUUACUGGGUGUAAGGGGAGCGUAGGCGGUAAGACAAGUCAGAAGUGAAAGGCUGGGGCUCAACCCUGGGACUGCUUUUGAAACUGUCUAACUAGAGUGCAGGAGAG
rnacentral:rRNA from 1 species